ACACCCCAGCACCUCCACCAUCCCCAUCAGCCCUCCAUAGGACACCCCCAGCACCUCCACCAUCCCCAUCAGCCCUCCACAGGACACCCUCAGCACCUCCACCCCACAAAUCACAUAAGUUAAGUAUCCUUGAGUAUCCUGUGAAUAUGUUUAUGUAUAUGUAUUUACAUGUAUCAUCCCCAUGUGAUCAUCUGGGAUGUAUAUUUAUAUAUACACACAAAUACAUAUACAUAAACAUAUUCACAGGAUACUCAACUUAUCUCUUUUCCUACAUCAGAUGUACAGGUGACAUUUCCACCUGGAUGACAGCACAUAAUCAGCAACACAGAGAUGCUCUUCAUCCGAGGGAAUGCCUGCCUGUUCUCAUUGUUACAUCAUCCCAGACAAUCACAUGUCAUUUACAUUCUAGCCCUAAGGAUUGCCUGCCCGUUCUCAUUGUUACAUCAUCCCAGAUGAUCACGUCAUUUACAUUCCAUCCCUAAGGAUUGCCUGCCUGUUCUCAUUGUUACAUCAUCCCAGAUGAUCACGUCAUUUACAUUCCAUCCCUAAGGAUUGCCUGCCUGUUCUCAUUCUUACAUCAUCCCAGAUGAUCACAUGUCAUUUACAUUCCAUCCCUAAGGAUUGCCUGCCCGCUCUCAGAUGUUAGAUAACCCCAGAUCCUUCCUGAGAGAGAAGGGGUGUAGUAUCUUCAGAUGGGCGUGUGGUGCCCUUCCUCACCCACGCCAACAAGAUGUUACUUCUUGUGGGGUCUUUGCCUUGAAAUUUGCUGAAUGUGUUCUGAAGGUGUCGAUUGUCUUUUCAAAUAUGGACAAAGAUGUUAACAUCAUGAGAGAAAUAGCAGAAAUAGCAGUCACUCCCCUCCAAAACACUGAUGUACAGGUGACAUUUCCACCUGGAUGACAGCACAUAAUCAGCAACACAGAGAUGCUCUUCAUCUGAGGGAAUGCCUGCCUGUUCUCAUUGUUACAUCAUCCCAGAUCCCUAAGGAUUGCCUGCCUGUUCUCAUUGUUACAUCAUCCCAGACAAUCACAUGUCAUUUACAUUCUAGCCCUAAGGAUUGCCUGCCCGUUCUCAUUGUUACAUCAUCCCAGAUGAUCACGUCAUUUACAUUCCAUCCCUAAGGAUUGCCUGCCUGUUCUCAUUGUUACAUCAUCCCAGAUGAUCACACGUCAUUUACAUUCCAUCCCUAAGGAUUGCCUGCCCGCUCUCAGAUGUUAGAUAACCCCAGAUCCUUCCUGAGAGAGAAGGGGUGUAGUAUCUUCAGAUGGGCGUGUGGUGCCCUUCCUCACCCACGCCAACAAGAUGUUACUUCUUGUGGGGUCUUUGCCUUGAAAUUUGCUGAAUGUGUUCUGAAGGUGUCGAUUGUCUUUUCAAAUAUGGACAAAGAUGUUAACAUCAUGAGAGAAAUAGCAGAAAUAGCAGUCACUCCCCUCCAAAACACUGGACCUGAGCCCUAGGACCAUGCCCCAGGACUACCUGACAUGAUGACUCCUUGCUGUCCCCAGUCCACCUGGCCGUGCUGCUGCUCCAGUUUCAACUGACCUGCCUUAUUAUUAUUCGACCAUGCUGGUCAUUUAUGAACAUUUGAACAUCUUGGCCAUGUUCUGUUAUAAUCUCCACCCGGCACAGCCAGAAGAGGACUGGCCACCCCACAUAUGCUCUCUCUAAUUCUCUCUUUCUUUCUCUCUCUCGGAGGACCUGAGCCCUAGGACCAUGCCCCAGGACUACCUGACAUGAUGACUCCUUGCUGUCCCCAGUCCACCUG